GGCGCAGCAUUGCCGGUCUUCUCAUUGCCUGGCUGCUAGAGGAAACCCGAAGUCGGGAUUCUUUCUUUCCUGCUCUGAGAGGGACCAGGUCCCUCCUCCGUAGCUUUUGUCUCUCUAUUGCCUGCGCCGUGUCCUGGACUGCUCACGGGAGUUCUGCAGGAGACGCCGGAAUAUCUGGAAGCUGAAAAAUGGAAAUAAAUGGAAAGACCAGAAUAUUGAAGAUCACUACAGAAAUCUAAGAGGCAGUUGGAUCACUUGAACCUGGGAGGCGUUCUGGAGGUCAGGAGUUCGAGACCAGCUUGGCCAACAUGGUGAAACCCUGUGUCUGCUAAAAAUACAAAAAUUAGCCGGGCCUCAUGGCACAUGCCUGUAAUCCCAGCUACUCUGGAGGCUGAAGCAGGAGAAUCGCUUGAACCUGGGAGGCGGAGGUUGCAGUGAGCCGAGAUCACGCCACUGCUUCUUGCUUUAAAAGAAGAGUAAAGACAAGAGUGUUGGACCAGUAUUGCAGUUCUGUAGUAUCAUUUCUUAUAAAAAACAAAACAACAAUAAUUUAUCAAAAUUGGCAUAUAAAGACUGACAACAUUCUAAUAAAGGCACAAAUUUCUUUUUAAUACUUGUUUCAGGCUCUUUAUUCUCUUUAUAAGUUAACUAAUCUAUUUUCUUCAAACUUCUGCAUUAGUUCUUUAAAAUCACAACACUUAGCAAGCUGACUUUUUUAAUGUGCUCAAUACAAAUACUUGUGAACUUUUAAUAUGUUGAGUGCUUUCAUUGUGAUAACUGGAUCUCCAUUUGAUAUUUUCAUUUAUAUAACUCAUUUGCAGUCUGAAAAUUUUUAGUGCCAGUCCCUGAAUAUAUCAUUGAAAGUUAAUUUUCUUUGCAUUUUAAAAUAUCUGGAUUAUGAAGAAAAAGUGAUGAAAAUAAAUUAAAACUGAAUUACCUUAAAAAAAAACAAAAAAAAAAGACCAAGCGUGGUGGCUCAUGCUUGUAAUCCCAGCACUUUGGGAGACUGAGGCGGGCAGAUCACCUGAGGUCAGGAGUUCCAGACCAGCCUGACCCACAUGGUGAAAUCCCAUCUCUACUAAAAAUACAAAAGUAGCCAGGCGUGGUAGCGUGCACCUGUAAUCCCAGCUACUUGGGAGGCUGAGGCAGGAGAAUUGCUUGACCCUGGGAAGUGGAGGUUCCAGUGAGCCAAGAUCAUGCCACUGCGCUGUAGCCUGGGCAAUGAGAGUGAAACUCUGUCUCAAAAAAAAAAAAAAAAAAAAAAAAAAAAAAGAAUGUCACUUUCUGACAGGCCCAGGAGCCUCAAGUUAUCUUGGGACCUUGACAGGAGGAAAAUUCACUCAACUCAUACAGGUAUUUGCAGGCAUAGAUAAGUCUGUGGCUGGGCUUCAAGGCUUUAAAAAGUACAAUCUGAGAUUCCUUAGUGAACAAAGUUUCAGCAAAGCCAAUUUUUAAAAAGAGUUUAGUCUCAGAACUAGGAAAUUGGCUAAAAAGAUAUGGGACAAGAUAUUUAAAUUUGCCUUUUUCUGUCUAUCCCAAUCUAAC
rnacentral:lncRNA from 1 species